AUGCACCUGCUCAGUGCCCCAAGGGGUGACAUGCUUUGGAAACUGGGCAUCUGGGCUGGACAUGCUAUCUCGGCUGAACACAUCUCAAGUGGGUUGCGGGGGUUCAACCUGAAGGACCCUUUUGAAAGUCUACCAGUCGGAGGCUUAAGUGAGUUCAAGAUUCAAUUUUACCCGUCACCCCCCACCACGGCCGAGGAAGGCAUUGCUGCUAGAGGUGUAAUGGACGUUAACACUGCUUUACAAGAGGUGCUGAAGAUUGCCCUCAUCCAUGAUGGCCUUGCACGUGGAAUCCACGAAGCUGCCAAAGCCUUAGACAAGCGCCAAGCCCAUCCAACUAUGAUGAGCCUAUGUAUGUCAAGUUGGUGGAGGCCCUUUGUGCUGAACACCAAAUCAACCUAAUUAAGUUUGAUGACAACAUGAAACGAGGGGAAUGGGUAGGCAUUUGUAAAAUUGACAGAGAGGGGAAACCCUGUAAAGUGGUUGGCUGCAGUUGUGUAGUAGUCAAGGAUUAUGGCAAAGAAUCUCAGGCGAAGGAUGUCAUCGAAGAGUACUUCAAAUGCAAGAAAUGAACAAAUAACACUUUGUUUCAUGUUCCUCAAAAAAAAAA